rnacentral:rRNA from 1 species
AUACGUAGGUGACAAGCGUUAUCCGGAUUUACUGGGCGUAAAGGGCGUGUAGGCGGUCUUGCAAGUCAGAAGUGAAAUUCCUGAGCUCAACUCGGGCGCUGCUUCUGAAACCGCCGGUCUUGAGUGCUGGAGGGGAUAGCGGAAUUCCUAGUGGAGCGGUAAAAUGCGCAGAUAUUAGGAAGAACACCGGUGGCGAAGGCGGAUAUCUGGGCUGAAACUGACGCUGAGGCGCGAAAGGGUGGGGAGCAAACAGGAUGAGAUACCCUGGUAGUCCACGCUGUAAACGAUGAUUGCUAGGUGUAAGAGGUAUCGACCCUGUUUGUGCCGCAGUCAACGCAAUAAGCAUUCCGCCUGGGGAGUACGGUCGCAAGGUUGAAACUCAAAUGAAUUGACGGGU